UACAGAGGGGGCAAGCGUUGUUCGGAAUUACUGGGCGUAAAGGGCUCGUAGGUGGCCAACUAAGUCAGACGUGAAAUCCCUCGGCUUAACCGGGGAACUGCGUCUGAUACUGGAUGGCUUGAGUUCGGGAGAGGGAUGCAGAAUUCCAGGUGUAGCGGUGAAAUGCGUAGAUAUCAGGAGGAACACCAAUUGCGAAGGCAGCUCGCUGGGACGUAACUGACGCUGAGACGCGAAAGCGUGGGGAGCAAACAGG
rnacentral:rRNA from 1 species